rnacentral:rRNA from 1 species
AGGAAGGCGGGGAUGACGUCAAAUCAGCACGGCCCUUACGUCCGGGGCUACACACGUGUUACAAUGGCCGGCACAGAGUGUCGGUGCGGCGCGAGCCGCAUCUAAUCUUGAAAACCGGUCUCAGUUCGGACUGGGGUCUGCAACCCGACCCCACGAAGCUGGAUUCGCUAGUAAUCGCGCAUCAGCCACGGCGCGGUGAAUACGUUCCCGGGCCUUGUACACACCGCCCGUCAAGCCAUGAAAGCCGGGGGUGCCUGAAGUCCGUGACCGCGAGGAUCGGCCUAGGGCAAAACUGGUGAUUGGGGCUAAGUCGUAACAAGGUAGCCGUACCGGAAGGUGCGGCUGGAACACCUCCUUU